UGGCGGACGGGUGAGAAACGCGUGGGAACGUGCCUCUUGCUACGGAAUAGCCUCGGGAAACUGGGAGUAAUACCGUAUGUGCCCUACGGGGGAAAGAUUUAUCGGCAAGAGAUCGGCCCGCGUUGGAUUAGGUAGUUGGUGGGGUAAUGGCCUACCAAGCCGACGAUCCAUAGCUGGUUUGAGAGGAUGAUCAGCCACACUGGGACUGAGACACGGCCCAGACUCCUACGGGAGGCAGCAGUGGGGAAUCUUAGACAAUGGGCGCAAGCCUGAUCUAGCCAUGCCGCGUGAGCGAUGAAGGCCUUAGGGUUGUAAAGCCCUGUUGUAUGGGAAGAGCAGAAGACGGUACCAUACGAGGAAGCCCCGGCAAACUACGUGCCAGCAGCCGCGGUAAUA
rnacentral:rRNA from 1 species